rnacentral:sRNA from 1 species
GAUCCACAACAGGAAUCAAAAGAUGACACAUUAGCAUGGAGAGAGUCUCAGGAGGAGGAGAGGAAAACGGGUGAGGAGGAAGGGGAGGAGGAGGAGAAAGAGGAGGAGGAGGGGAAGGAGGACAAAAAGAUUGUCAUGGAAGAAACUGAGGAAAAGGCUGGAGAAGUCCAGGAGAAGGAGGCUUCAGGAAUACAGGAAGAAACCACAGUGGAGCCCCAAGAAGUCACAGAGUCCAUGAUCCGUUUGGAGACACAGAUUACCGAUUCCCAGUCAAUCACAUCAGGAAUUUUCCCAAAAACCCAAAGAGGUAGCAAGUCAAAGCUUUCCUUACAAUUGGAGGAUGCAGAAACAGAUGAGCUUUUAAGAGACCUGAGCACACAAAUUGAAUUUCUUGAUUUGGAUCAAAUCAGUCCUGAGGAACAACAGAUUAGUUCCCCUGAAAGGCAGCCCUCAGGAGAGCUUGAGGAGAAAACCGACCGGAUGCCCCAAGAUGAACUGGGACAAGAAAGAAGGGACUUGGAGCCAGAAAACAGAGAGGAGGGACAAGAAAGGAGAGUAUCCGACAUCCAGUCCAAAGCAGGGAUCUCCCGGGAGUCACUGGUGUCCAGCACCACAGAGGACAUUCUGUUUCAAAAGGAUAAAAGCGCCCCGGUGUAUCCCUUGACCAUGACCUGGUCGUUUGGAUGGAAUAGUUCUCUUCCUGUUUACUAUAUUCGAGAGGAAAGGCAGAGAGUUCUUCUGUAUGUUUGUGCUCACACUGCGAUCAUCUACAACGUGUUCAGGAACAAUCAAUACCACCUUCAGGUAUGCAGGGAUUUCCUUCCUACAGGUGGGGGAGUUGUCUUUAACGUGUGUGUGGUAUUUUGUUUUGUAUCUCAAGGGCUGACUUCAUUCUAUCACUGUCGUAUUUUCCCACUCUCCUUGGAACUAAAAGCAAGCCUGUCUUUAGAAACACAUGGUAUUGUUUAUUGUCUCUCUGUUUCUAAUCAGAAUCAACUUACAAAACAGCAGUUGAUAUUAAUUUUAUAGUGAGAAUUUAAAACAUCUGUAUUUUUUACACUUCUGCAAAAAUGUGGACAGUGUAGCUCAUAUCUCCACAGAUAUAACACAAAGGGCAGCUAUUCAGCAGGGUGCCGACCUCACGGACACUUACACACGUCUCUAGUUUUCAAAGGGCUUUCAUCUUAUAACUGUACCAAGAAGUGGGUAUUCAUAUACCCAUUUUACAGAAGAAGAAACUGAGGCUCAGAGUGUUUUAAGUGACUUGCCCAAGACUGUACUAGUAAACAAUGACUCUACAUCUCCUGUCUUGAAAGUGUUAAGUAGGUCAGUUGUCCUUUUAUCCCUCCCUCCUUUCAGCAGCUUUGCUCAUUUUCACCCCUCUCUGAGCCUCCCCCAUUUGUCCUUCAUGCCUGCCCUCCUCACAGCACUCUGCCUCCUUUGUUCCUGAUAUUUGGGACCCAUUUCAUUUUCAUCAUUUACCUUUCCAAGCAUCCUAUUCCUUGGUGUCUGACUUUCCACUCGUUGGCCUGGUCAACUGUUCCACAUCACCCUUUCAGUUGACGUGUGUUGUUACAGGAGUGUCCUUAGCUGAUGCCUAGAUCAAAAACACCACGAGCUAUUUACGAAGGACCCAGUCAAUACUCAGUGUUGUGCCAGGGACUCAAGAUGUCUGGGUGCAACUUAAGGAAUUCACUCUCUAGAAGUCCAGAAAUACGUAGGCAGAAAUCAGCAGGCAGCUCCCCUUGGAGCUUCAUUGAAUGCAUGGCAGUGAACACAGUGGUGAUGGCAGAGAGAGAAGGAGAGAUUGCUGUGGGCAGGCUCAGAUAGUCAGGGGAAGCAGGAUGCGCAAAUGGGCUGGGGUGGAAGGAGGCAGGAGUCCAGCCUCACUAGGGCCAGAGGGCUGGGAGUGGCCUUGACCAUCCAUUCGUUUCACAAAUAGUUAUAGCUGCUAUGUUUCACAGUAUAGGUCUGUAGUAAUGAACAAAACAGAUGUAUUCCCUGCUGUCAUGGAGCUUACAGUCUAGAACAGAGACAGAUGUUAAACAAGUGAACACAUAAAUGAUUACAAAUUGUAACCAGUGCUUGAAAGGAGAUGUGAAAACGCUCUAAGGGAGAAAAAUCAGGGUAAGAGAAGACUUAACUUUAGAUUGAGUGGGCAGGGAUUGAAGAGGUGCUGUUUCUGCUGAGACCUGGAGGAUGCGAAUGAGCCAGCCAAAGACAGUCUGGGGGAGAACAUUCCAAACAGAGGGAGCAACAAGUGUUCAGUCCUGUGUGUGGGGCCUGGAAAGAAGGCUGGUGUGGCUGCUGCACCAUGAGGGAGAUGGAGAAGGAAGGAGGGAAGAGGGGCCAUUUCCCAGCAGGGAGUGCUACCAUUUGUGUUUCCAGAAGAUUCCUCUCUUGUGUGCAUAAAAGGAUUGUAAGAAUAUAAGAGUGGAAGCAGAGGCCGAGCAUGGUGGCUCAUGCCUGUAAUUUCAGCACAGGCCGUGGCCAAGGAGGCUGAGGUGGGUGUAUCGCUUGAGCCCAGGAGUUUGAGGCCAGCCUGGGCAACAUGGCAAGACCCUUGUCUCUAC